CCUACGGGGGGCAGCAGUAGGGAAUAUUGCUCAAUGGGGGAAACCCUGAAGCAGCAACGCCGCGUGGAGGAUGAAGGUUUUCGGAUUGUAAACUCCUUUUGUUAGAGAAGAUAAUGACGGUAUCUAACGAAUAAGCACCGGCUAACUCCGUGCCAGCAGCCGCGGUAAUACGGAGGGUGCAAGCGUUACUCGGAAUAACUGGGCGUAAAGGGCGCGUAGGCGGGAUAGCAAGUCAGAUGUGAAAUCCUAUGGCUUAACCAUAGAACUGCAUUUGAAACUGUUAGUCUAGAGUAUGGGAGAGGUAGGUGGAAUGCUUGGUGUAGGGGUAAAAUCCGUAGAGAUCAAGAGGAAUACUCAUUGCGAAGGCGACCUGCUAGAACAUAACUGACGCUGAUGCGCGAAAGCGUGGGGAGCAAACAGGAUUAGAUACCCGAGUAGUC
rnacentral:rRNA from 1 species